UUGAACGCUGGCGGAAUGCUUUACACAUGCAAGUCGAACGGCAGCACGGGGGCAACCCUGGUGGCGAGUGGCGAACGGGUGAGUAAUAUAUCGGAACAUAUCCUGUCGUGGGGGAUAACUAAUCGAAAGGUUAGCUAAUACCGCAUACGACCUGAGGGAGAAAGCGGGGGCUCGCAAGACCUCGCGCGAUUGGAGUGGCCGAUAUCUGAUUAGCUAGAUGGUGAGGUAAAGGCUCACCAUGGCGACGAUCAGUAGCUGGUCUGAGAGGAUGAUCAGCCACACUGGGACUGAGACACGGCCCAGACUCCUACGGGAGGCAGCAGUGGGGAAUUUUGGACAAUGGGGGCAACCCUGAUCCAGCCAUUCCGCGUGAGUGAAGAAGGCCUUCGGGUUGUAAAGCUCUUUCAGCAGGAGCGAAACGGUCGUUUUUAAUACAGACGGCUAAUGACGGUACCUGCAGAAGAAGCACCGGCUAACUACGU
rnacentral:rRNA from 1 species